GCUGGUAAAAAGUGAUGUAUCUACAAGUAUUAGUGAUUAAUAUGAGAUUAACUAAGUUAAUUAAAAUUCUAUGUAAAUAUCUGAUUAUGACAGUAUUUGCUUAUGUCUUGACCAAAUCACGUGCCAGCAGUCGCGGUAAGACGUGGAAGAUAAGUGUUAUUCAUGUUUAAUAGGUUUAAAGGGUACCUAGACGGCUAAUUAAACACUUUAAUGUAUUAAUUAACUAGAGUUUGAUAUAAGAAGGUUUGAGUACGGUGAGUGUAGAGAUAAAAUUYUAUUAGACCAUUAUGGAACUGGUAAAGGCGAAGGCAACCUUCUAUGUAAAAACUGACGUUAAGGGACGAAGGCUCGUAAAAAAAAACAGGAUUAGAUACCCUGGUAUUCUGGGCAGACAAUGAUGAGUGUCAUAUGCAAGAAAAAAAUUUUGUGUAUAAACGAAAGUGUAAGCACUCCACCUCAAGAGUAACAUGGCAACAUGGGAACUGAAAUCAUUAGACCGUUUCUGAAACUCGUAGUGAAGUAUGUUGUUUAAUUUGAUAAUCCACAAAUAACCUUACCACAACUUGAAUUACUUUAGUUAGCUGAAGUAACAAGCGUUGCACGGCUGUCUCCAGUCAAUGUUGUGAAACCGUGGUUUGAUCCAUUGAAUUGACGUAAACCCUCACUCCACUUACUGUGGAGUGGUUCGCCGCUAUAUU
rnacentral:rRNA from 1 species